AUCUGUCUCUCUCUAACUCUUCUCUCUCCAUCAACCCGAACCAGUGAAGUCGUUUCAAAUCCGACCAAAUUGACACCAUUUCCGGCGAGUUCUGACUCUCUCUCUCUCUCUCGACGAAGGUAAAGCUCCUUAACAGUAUUCAUUUGAUGGAGUUAAUUGCCUAGCAUAAACAAUUUAGGGUUUGCAUAUGUUUGUUAACCAUAAGUUAUGCUUUGUCAGACAUGGUAUAUAUGUCGCAUCACUCAUCUCUCACUACUAUCACUGGCUUCAUUCGGGAAAGUGUUCACUGGGUGCAAAAAUCAUCCUCAAAUACUCCAAAUUUCAGAACCCAGAAAGUGCUUAUUAACGGUGAACAAUUUGUGGUUUGCUUUUUUCCAAUGAUUGCAAUGUAUUUUAAUUAACCACAUCAUAUCCUUUAUAUAAUUUUUCCAGUAUAUCUAGGAGGAUGGACAUGCACCUAUUUUUGAUAAUGUAUUGUUGAUUACUCUCGAAUUACAAGUAUGAGUUUAUAGAAUGGUUAGUUUUUGAGGUCAUUUUAUUUCAAUGAAAAUAUAAACGAAACCACUACAAUAUUUUUUAUGAUUUUAAGUCUAUGUUGAGAUUGAAAUUACCAAUUUAGCACAAAAAAAAGAAAGAGAAAUUACCAAUUUAGCUAUUGCAAUUAUGUAAGAUAACUGGAUGGGAAAUACUCAACUUUUUCCAAAAAAAGAAAACUUUGAUUUAUAAAUUAGGGCUCUCAAAAAAAGAAAACUCUGUUUUAAUUUUCUUUUUGAUUUUAAUUUUAAUUUUGGGCUAUCUAGAAAAGUCUAUCAUUGUUUUAAAUAACUAUUCUUAACUGUUGGAUAUUGGAUUUGAGUUAAAUUCUUUGCAGCACUGCUUAAGGGUGUCUAGUGUUUGCAUGGUUUGUAGAGGAGAAAGAUCAAAGGUCCACAACCUAUUGCUAAACAAAUAAAAAACUGGGAAAACAAAGAUAUUUGAACAUUUGUUUUGCUAGUACAAAUGAAAAGUAUACACCUCAUUAGACAUUGUAGGCAAAGAAACAAAAACAUCCAUAUUUAUUCAAUUUUGGUUUGGGGAUCCAUUAUAUGUAGCAAACUCCAAUAGAGAAGACUCAGAUGGCUUAACAGGGGAAGAGCCAGAGGUGGCUCCUGAAACUAACGUAUGGUUCUCUAUACUUUUCUUGUUUUCCUAUUUCUGCUUUCUGCUUUCUGCUCUCCCUAUUAUUUUCCAUCCAUUUCAAGAUGAGAGUUUAGUUUUGAAACAACAAAUUAGUUUGGGUUUAAUAUAAUAUCUCAACCUUCUAAUGUUAUUUUUGAGUUUAUAAAAAGAAAGUUUAAGAUUUACAUCAACAUUAUUAUGUUUUACCCUUAUAUUAAAUUUUAUUGCGUUUGUUAAUAAUAGAUAAUAUGAUAUAAAUUAUAAGAGAUUUGCUUAUAUUAUUUGGUUUUUUAAGAAAUCCCAUCUAUUUUUGAACAGAAAGUUUGUAUAUAAAUGGCUGUUUAAUGUGUGCAUAUUGUACAGGUGAAAAGGAAAUGCAUUGUUAAUGAAGGUGGGUCAAAGAAAGCUUCUAAGGAAAGUGGGAGUGUGGGACAAAGAAAAAUGUCAAGAAAGGUACGGCUACCAAGGAUAGGGCACAAUAUUUUUUGUAUUGCCUUUUUGGUAUUUAAGAUCUAGGUUGAUUGGUGAUGUAGAGUUUUUGGUAUCGACUGACAAUAUAAAAUGAAAAGGGCAGAAUGAAUGUAUUUUUGGGAUGACAAUAUACAUUUGGGUUCCAUAAAGGACGUGAAUGUUAUUUAAUAUGUGUGAUCAAUUUGGCUGGCAAUGAGAUUCAUGAUUUCAGACAAUUAUUGUUGUGUUGUAUUGUAUUGUGUUUGUUAGUUUAAGUUUAAAUAUUUGUGGUGAUGUAUGUGCUGAUAUUUAUUGUGUAGUAUAUCUGGUGCAAUGUGUGCCUUUUUUGAGAAUUUGUGUGCAGCAACACGGGAAAAAUGUUGUGUGAUGUGACA
rnacentral:lncRNA from 1 species